ensembl:lncRNA
GAAAAACCACAGGAUCUCCUGGGAUCAAAACAAUGUCCUGUUGUUAUCUCAACACCACUCCGUUUGGCUUUUUUGGCUUUUACCUUUCAUUUUCUACCGCUCUGUGCAAGCAGAGCUUGCCUUGCAUUGUGCUCUGUUCUACGCAUGCAUUUUCUCAGUGAAGAUGUUUUUAUUUCUGAUGGAUAUGCUGGGUGGCCAGAGGUUUUGGAUUUCUUCCAUGGGGAUUCAUCUCUUCCAGGAAGGGGGAGGCUGCAGUGAAGAGGCCAACUGAGAAGCUUUCAUCUCCAUGCGAGAUGAGAGGAGAGACUUCGAUGCUCAUCUCUUCCUCAGAUGAAGACUUAAGCUCAAGAAUUAACGAAUAAAUUCCCUAUCCCAUGGGAGCUGAGACUGUACUCUCCGGAGUGUGACUCAUAAGCCCUUGCAGCUCAGACAGCGUUGCAGAAUGAGCUACCAGCAACCUCUUUGUCCUUCACAUGAUGUUACUGAAUCAGCUCAAGAUAACUCAUACCUUGGAGCAACCUCACAUUGCAAGAAGGAGCGUUAUUUCUCAACAUAGAACACACAGAAGACAGAAUUAACUCCAUGAUAUAGCUGCAUUACCACCCUGCUAUUCACUUCCUGACUUCAGCUCAAGUGCCUACAGGCCCUGUCCUACUAAGCUCUGUACAAGGCCUGACAUUUGACACCCAAGACCCCAGGACUUACACAGAGGCACAAGCGGAGGCCCUGGGGAAGAGGAAAAUGAGUUUACAACCGACUACGCCUAUGGGACUCCCGGAGGGAUACAAUGUGAGAGCCUUUACUAGUGGUGGAUGGUCCUCAAAAGGUUUGAAAGUUUGGUCAUUGCUGAAAAAGAUGACUCCCUAAAAUCAUGAUGAAAAGUUACUCUAACUGCUGUGCUUUGUUGGAAGACUUCUUGAGGGUAUCACCAUGACUAUGGCUGCUGCUGCUGCUUGUUUGUGUUGUAGACUUACCCUUACUGCAAGAAUAUUUGGGAAAAGGCAGAGAAAAAUUGUAUGAAGUUACCUAUGAACAAGUUGACCUGUGGACCCUGCCAAAAAAAAUUUUCCAUGUGAACUUGAGUUUGCAAGGCCCUUUUUUGAGUCCCGAAAACUCUGCGUUCUGAAAAAGGACAUCUGUGAUAAGAUGGAACUUGGCACCAGUAACUCAUGUACUAUGGGUGAAGCAUGCUCAGAAGAGGCAGACCCAGAGGUAGUCCUGAAUCUUGUAAAUGGCUCUGGGUGAAUCUGAAGAACUGCAUGUGAUUUGUCAGGCGUUUUUAAGAUAAAUGGUAAAACUGAACUGGAAAUCCAUCUGGCCAGCUGCCUGAUCUAAUGAAUAACCCCACUUUGGCUCCUGCAAUGUAAGCAGAAAGAGUUCUCUCCCGGCCGCUUUCGUCUGUCAUGAAUCUACAAGACAGCCGACAUAAUAUCUGGGCGACAACAGCGUGCUAACAGUGCAGUGACUUCCAUUUUCUUUGCUUUCUAUUGAUUUUCACUUAAUAACUGGCGAAAUACUAAACGUCCGCCCUGAGUACCUAAUAAAUCCUGCCUGAGCUUUUUAUUGAGGAGAAUUUAAUAAAAACAACCAUUGUGGCUG